rnacentral:rRNA from 1 species
GUCCACGCCGUAAACGAUGGAUACUAGCUGUUGGGCAACCUCAGUGGCUAAGCGAAAGUGAUAAGUAUCCCACCUGGGGAGUACGUUCGCAAGAAUGAAACUCAAAGGAAUUGACGGGGCCCGCACAAGCGGUGGAGCAUGUGGUUUAAUUCGAUGAUACGCGAGGAACCUUACCAAGGCUUAAAUGUAGUUUGACCGAUUUGGAAACAGAUCUUUCGCAAGACAAAUUACAAGGUGCUGCAUGGUUGUCGU